GUGAAAAGAACUUUGGAGAGAGAGUCAAAAAGACCGCGAAACCGUUAGGAGGGAAGCGAAUGCAGCCAAAGUGGUUCUCGUUCAGGCUCAGGAGUUGUUGGCAUGCAGUGCUGGGAUGUCAGACGCCGAAGGGUGCUGCAACUCGGAUACAGCUGUCGACUGCUUUGCAUUCCUGGUGAGAACCGGCCAACGGCAGUUACUCCUGGCUCAUGAGGGUUGGUGGGAAGGUAGCUUCUUGGUUUACCGAGAAGAACUUAUAGCCACCAGCCUGGUAGUCUGGGAGUGACUGAGGAGUGCUGUGACUUUUCACACCCGCAGUACAGGCUCCCUAGGGGCCGGGUCCCUUCUGUCUGUGUGGGCAACGCCACAGGGACUGCGUGCAGUGUCUGCGGACGGAUGUGUGCUCAGGUGGGAGGUCGGCCACGUCUUGUGCUGUAGUCGU
rnacentral:rRNA from 1 species